rnacentral:lncRNA from 1 species
GGUACUUUUAUAGUGUGUAUUAUCAUGUGUAUAGAGGUACUUUUAUAGUGUGUAUUAUCAUGUGUAUAGAGGUAAUAUUAUAGUGUGUAUUAUCAUGUGUAUAGAGGUAAUAUUAUAGGGUGUAUUAUCAUGUGUAUAGAGGUAAUAUUAUAGUGUGUUAUUAUCAUGUGUAUAGAGGUAAUAUUAUAGUGUGUUAUUAUCAUGUGUAUAGAGGUAAUAUUACUGUGUGUGCAGGAGCUGACUUUUUUCAUAAUGGGGUCAUUGAAGUCAUGGUGAAUUUGAUAGGAGGGACAUUGAAACUGAAUAUCAGACAUACAGUGCAUAUGGAAAGUAUUCAGACCCCUUGACUUUUUCCACAUUUUGUUACGUUACAGCCUUAUUCUGAAUGGAUGAAGUAAAAAAAUGUAUCAUCAAUCUACACACAGUACCACAUAAUGACAAAGUGAAAACAGGUUUUUAGAAACGUUUGCAAAUGUAUUAAUAUUAAAUAACAAAAAUACCUUAUUUGCGUAAGUAUUCAGACCCUUUGCUAUGAGACUCGAAAUUUAGCUCAGGUGUAUUUGUAUUUAUUAAGAAUCCCCAUUAGCUGCUGCCAAGGCAACACAAUUAAGGCAGUUAUACAAUUUUAAAAACAUUACAAUACAUUUACAGAUUUCACAUCUUGUUUCCUAUUUCCAUUGAUCAUCUUGAGAAGUUUCUACAACUUGAUUGGAGUCCACCU